CAGUAGCCGCGGUAAUACAGAGGGUGCAAGCGUUAAUCGGAAUUACUGGGCGUAAAGCGCGCGUAGGUGGUUUGUUAAGUUGGAUGUGAAAUCCCCGGGCUCAACCUGGGAACUGCAUCCAAAACUGGCAAGCUAGAGUAUGGUAGAGGGUGGUUGAAUUUCCUGUGUAGCGGUGAAAUGCGUAGAUAUAGGAAGGAACACCAGUGGCGAAGGCGACCACCUGGACUGAUACUGACACUGAGGUGCGAAAGCGUGGGGAGCAAACAGGAUUAGAUACCCGUGUAGUCCCUGUCUCUUAUAU
rnacentral:rRNA from 1 species